CAAACACUGCUCUGUGGAGCAUUGAGAGGACUUCCGAGUUGUCUUGAGUUGAGCUAGAAACGUUGGAGUACGGAGGGGAGGAGAGAUGAGAAAAGUUGAUCGGUUGGCGAGCUGGGAACAGAAGACCGCUGCCUAUUCUUGAGAUGUGAAUGUUAAAAGCUAAAUCCCCGUCCAUCAGCACUCCAGUCAGCUUCGCUCCAAGCUCGCCGGCUUCAUACCGCCCGCCUGCCGUGUCCAAGGGAAUGUAGAUUUUGAAGAACUGCUCUGCUGUUUUCUGGAUGUACAACCACACAUUUUGUGUUCCCGCCAACAGCGCAUGAGGGCUCGGAUUACUCUCCAGCUCAGCAACACUCGUCAUCUGGAUUUUGGCAACAGCUUUCAUGACUGUCGUGGAGUGCUAAUCAGUCAAUGAUAAAAAAAAAAAAAAUGGUGAUUCCACUUGCAUGAGAGACACUGCCUGACUGUGGAGCGUAGGCUGGCCUGAAGCUCUCCUCCUGACCACCUUCACUCCUGACCGCCAGGAUCGCAGGUUUACCUCACGGUACCUGGCUGCGUUCUUCUCUCUGCUUCUCUCCACACGAAAUGCCGGCAGCCUGGGUCCUGUGUGUGCGUUUAAUCGUUUCUGUUCAUGUGCGUGCCUGUGUCAGGAAUGUCUGUGGCGAUUAUUUAUUCAUUCAGGGAGGCAGCUAAAGUGACUACAGCUGUGAUGAAACACCAUGGGGAGGAAAGGGUUUAUUGGGCUUUCACUUCCACAGCCAUGGUCCAUCACUGAAGGAAGUCAGGACAGGAACUCACACAGGGCAGGAGCUGAUGCAGAGCCCAUGAAGAGGUGCUGCUUACUUACUGCCUUGUUCCCCAUGGCCUGCUCAGCCUGCUUCCUUAGAGCACCCAAUUACACCUGGCCAACGAUGGCCCCACCCACAAUGACUGGGCCCUCCUCCAUCAAUCCCUAAUUAAGAAAAUGCCCUACAACUGAAUCUCAUGGAGGCAUUUUCUCAGUUGAGGUUCCCUUCUUUCAACUAACUCUAGCUUUAUGUCAAGUUGACAUAAAUCUAGCCAGGGCAUUCAACAAAUGAAAAUUUAGAUUUUUUUUUAAAGGUUUAUUUAUUUAUUAUGUAUACAGUCGACUGCAGGCCAGAAGAGGGCACCAGAUCUCAUUACAGAUGGUUGUGAGCCACCAUGUGGGUGCUGGGAAUUGAACUCAGGACCUCUGGAAGAACAGUCAGUGCUCUUAUUCUCUGAGCCAUCUCUCCAGCCGGAAAAUUUAGUAUUUUUUAAUGGGCCAGACAAAAUAUAAAAAUACUACACACACACACACACACACACACACACACACACACACAGCUGGUUUGGAUUGCAAAUAAUAUGCUGCUUCAUUUCUGCCACUUGAAAUUCCUUUUUCCCUCUGUGGUAUGAGGAUGCUACCCCAGGAAUAGUACCCCUUUGAGGCUUCAGGGGUCUGCCUUCUUGUCAGGAGUUUUAUUUGUGACUGAACCACUAAGAAAUCCCUCACCUGUAGUUCGGUGAGGUUGGUGGAACUCUGGAUGGGCUGGAAUUGUAGAUACGGUGAGGUGGGAACAGCUGGAGAGAGCAAGGAAGUUGGACAGAUCCUGUGUGGGGGCUAGACUCCUGGGGACAGCUCUUUUCCUUGUGUUUCCCAGAGGGUAGCAGCAGAAAGUUGGAGAGUCCGCCUCCUGGGUAUCUCCAGUUUGAAAGCUGCCUGAGAAGUGCUGAGUGUUUCUUUGGUGACACACAGCUAUAACAUGGGCAUGCAGAAGGCUGGGAUGGAAGGAUGUGAGUUUGAAGGCAGCCUUACAUAGCAAGACAACCACUAAAAAAAUAAAUAGCCACAAACCUGCCGUAUGAUCCAGUCUUUCCACCCUUUGAUGUACUCACGAGCAGAUACAGCUGCCCUCACUUGCGUACUGGAUUUAUUUAUAAUAGAUUGGACGAGGAGCAACCCAAAUACCCAUCCACAAAUGAAUAAGUAAAUCAUUGUAGAUCCAUAUAGUGGAAUAAUACCCAGCACUGAAAAUAAUACACAGCAACAUGGAUAAGUCUUACCAUAUGUUUGAUUCCACUUAUAUAAUUAAUUGAAAGUGAUAAAGUGAAUGGGGGGGUGCAGGGGGUGUUGAUUCCGGGGAUGAAGGAGGUUAAGAAGCAAUCAUAACAGGGCAGGAAAUAAAACCUCUGUGUGGAGUGCUAGAGAGGUCCCCAGGUAUCCACAAAGAUGACUCCACUGUAGACUACUGGUAAUGGUCGAGAGGGUGCCUGAGCUGACCUACUCUGGUGAUUGGAUGGCUGAACACCCUAAUUGUCAUGACUGAACCCUCAUCCAGUGACUGAUGGAAGCAGAUGCAGAGAUCCACGGCCCAGCCCCAGGCAGAACUCCAGGAGUCCAAUCGGUGAGAGAGAGAGAGAGAGAGAGAGAGAGAGAGAGAGAGAGAGAGAGAGAGAGGGAUUAUAUGAGCAAGAGAUAUUGAGACCAUGAUUGGAAAAAGUACAGAGACAACUAGCCAAACUAGCGGGAACACAUGAACUGUGAACCAAUAGCUGAGGAGACCCCAACUGGACCAGGCCCUCUGGAUAAGUGAGACAGUUGUUGAGCUUGAACUGUUUGGGAGGCCCCCAGGCAGUGAGACCUGGCCUGUCCUUAGUGCAUGAGCCGGCUUUUUGGAACCUAGGGCCUAUGGUGAGACACUUUGUACAGCCUUGGUGCAGGGAGGAGGGGCUUGGACCUGCCUCAACUGAAUGUACCAGGCUCUGCUGACUCCCCAGGGGAGACCUUG